UGUUGCUGCCCGAGCCCAGCAGCCUCCAGCUAUCCACUGCCAGAUCCGUGAGCGGUGGAACUAAAUGGGGAAGGGAAUCAACACUGAGAAGUCAGAGGACCAACUGAGGAAACAUGAACCAAGCGUGAGGUAACGUCUCUUCCUCUUCAAAGAAUUUUCUGGACUGCAUUCAGUUGCUUCUGAACGUGGAACAGUUCUUGCCAUUCACAAAAAGACUGGGAUAUCACAUUUUUAAUACAGAAAUUACACUGGAAGUUGGCACUGCCAUCAUUAGUCCUCCCUAGAGAGGAGUUAGACGCAUCUUUUCUCUGGUGAACAUUUUAAUAGGCAGUAUUAGAAAUCGAUUCAGAUUAAAUCAUGUUGAUAAAGUUUCUUGAUUUAGCAAUUAACAGAGAUAAUUACUUCACCACAGAGACUUCAUAAUUGCAAUAUGCACUAAGCUUCCAUUUAGAAAUUGUACUGAUUAGCUGAAACGUGGCACAUAAUUAAAAAAAUAAAUACAUGCAUCAGCCUGGAUAUGGACCAUAAGGUUGACUACAGCCAUACUUAAAUCUUCAUCACUUAGAACAUGGCCCUUGCACUAAUGCUUAAAAGCACGUAUCUCC